rnacentral:rRNA from 1 species
GAUGAACGCUGACGGCGUGCCUAAUACAUGCAAGUCGAGCGAAUGGAUUAAGAGCUUGCUCUUAUGAAGUUAGCGGCGGACGGGUGAGUAACACGUGGAUAACCUGCCCAUAAGACUGGGAUAACUCCGGGAAACCGGGGCUAAUACCGGAUAACAUUUUGAACCGCAUGGUUCGAAAUUGAAAGGCGGCUUCGGCUGUCACUUAUGGAUGGACCCGCGUCGCAUUAGCUAGUUGGUGAGGUAACGGCUAACCAAGGCAACGAUGCGUAGCCGACCUGAGAGGGUGAUCGGCCACACUGGGACUGAGACACGGCCCAGACUCCUACGGGAGGCAGCAGUAGGGAAUCUUCCGCAAUGGACGAAAGUCUGACGGAGCAACGCCGCGUGAGUGAUGAAGGCUUUCGGGUCGUAAAACUCUGUUGUUAGGGGAGAACAAGUGCUAGUUGAAUAAGCUGGCACCUUGACGGUACCUAACCAGAAAGCCACGGCUAACUACGUGCCAGCCGCCGCGGUAA